ensembl:miRNA
GCAGAGCUGUGCUCUAUGGGUUUGACAUCAUCAUACUUGGGAUGUAUGUCACAAAGUCCCAAGAAGGCUGAUGUCAGGCCCAAGAUUGCUGCCAUCCUGUC